rnacentral:lncRNA from 1 species
CAGCUCCCGGACCUGUUUCAUCCACUCUCGGACACCGAAGCCACGGAGUUGUCGGUACUCCGAGCAGACGAGCUGGCCGACGUUGCCCGGCAAGGAAAGUGCCGUGGUCUCCAUUUUUAACCCCAUGUUCAAGCUAGUUUCAACAAUACCAUUAUAACUGUUACAGACCCACAAGGUCGAGUGGUUUUCUGGUCCUCUGCGGGUACUUGUGGAUCCAAAAGCUCAAGAAAAGCAUCACCCUAUGCUGGUCAAAGAACAACAGUCGAUGCUAUUCGUACAGUAGGUUUACAACGAGCAGAAGUUAUGGUAAAGGGUGCUGGUAGUGGAAGAGAUGCUGCAUUACGAGCCAUUGCUAAAAGUGGUGUGCGCUUAAGUUGUAUACGCGAUGUAACACCUAUGCCGCAUAAUGGAUGUCGACCGCCUAAAAAAAGGCGUCUGUACUUCACGGUUGAAUGAAUCAACCUGAAAAAUACCUAAAAAAGGCCUAAAGUUAAGGAUUUAUCAAUGGGUAAUGUUGCUCCAAUACCUAACCAAAGAGCUACUGCAGUACCGAUUAAAAAAACAGUCAUAGCUACCGCCCUCCCUUCGGCUGUUCUGCGGAGGGGAAGGAUGAGCUUAUUUGAAGAACUUAAUUGGCAAUGGCAAGUGGGCAUGUUGCAAAAAGUUUGCUCAAUUUACUGGCCAUUUCUUGAGUUUAAAGCAUGAAGGCGAUCGAGAGCGAGACUAGGAGGACCCAUCCGCUCAGCUUUCAUCGGUUUCUUAUGUCUGAACGCAGGUGCCUAUCAGCAUCCGCAGUCCGAGUCUCUACAUGAAUUUGACGGUGACAGGUCUUUUACGACGACGACUAGGAUCGUCGGACCUGCAGAAUGCAGAUGCCUGUUAGGCGACAGGGCAGGAAACGUUUGAACUUUGAAGCCGUCAGAUGCAUCUCCUCGACGUUCGAUCCAACCUCUCGGGUUUCCAGUUCAGACUGUCUUCAAUUGCACAUGCUACUAGAUGUUCUCCCAGCUGCCAAAAAAAAUGUUCUCCGGGUAAUCACUCUAUAUUCUAGACUUGAAAUCAGAAUUUCUCUAAUCAUCUGUACUACUAUUUAAAACUCGAGUUAUGAAUUUGUUGUUGAUCCCAAAAAUCUUAGCCAUCCAAUCUGCUAAAUAAAACGUCCUUCGUAAAUAAUAUUGCUUCAAUGAUGUAUGUAUUAAUUGUAUAACACAUUUUAAUUAUUGCUAAUACCAUUGAGCUAUUAAUUAUGAAAAUUAAUAGUGUUGUCGCACUCGAACAACACUUAGUAUAUGGGUGGGUGUAUACAACGGUCUUAUGACGAAUAUUUUUGUAAUAGGUGUCGCCGAAGCACGACUUAAUCCUAUGUCAGGAGAAUGCUCCGGAUGAGCGCAGACGUUUGCAAUUCCUCCAAAAGUUGGUGUGCGGCGGAGCUCAAGAACGACCGCAUGUACAAUUUGCGAGAUCCCCAAAUCCGAACAUGAACAAAUUGUCAUUUGCAAGAUCCCCAAAUCUGAAGAUGACCAAAUCGAGCAUAUUUACCUCGUAGGCGCUCGAAAAACCAACGAAGGAAGCGGUGUGGCACGGCCGAAUCAGAGCUGCUGGCUCGGCAGUUCUCCGGGCGGAAGGGGUCUGAAUAACCAAGGGAUCCCCUCCUUGGGAUGCGGGCUAGCCACGGGGAAUGGUGGAAUACCAGACCGGCAACACGGAGACGAUGGCGGUGACGAAAAAUUGGAGGCGACAAGCGGCGGAAGCUCAUGUAAAAUGCGCGGGCUAAAAGGAAAACGAACACAGAAUCCCAAUAAAUAGCAACAGGGGAUCCGAAUUUUUUUAGGGAUUUCAUGGAUAUGCUGGAUAUGUACAGGACAUUUUUUUCCGACCAAACCGUAAAAUAUCGGUUAUUUUAAGAAUCGGUCCGAUAUACGGGAUCUAGAGAUGCUCUAAACCCCUGAUGAACCUAAAUACUAGUAUGAGAAAUCAUUUUGACGGAUAAAAUUCUUAAAAUUCAAGUACAAUUUUAUUACUCCACUUCUAUUACUAAGGCACCAAAGCUCUAACGGCAAACCACAUGACCAAAAUCGAGCUUAGAAUCAUGAUUCAUGAUAUUGCACAAAUUAAGAAAUUUGACGUGUGGUACGUAUGCACCUUCUUGUCGAUGAAGUCUGCCCAGAAGCGGCCCUGAGCGCGGGCGCAGGGAUCUCGGGGGAGAGGAGCGCGGUGCCGUCUCGGGCCAGGCCUCGUCAAUGUACUGGACAAUGAGGAGGGACUCGCUGACGGACUUGCCGCUGUGGAGCAGGACGGGGAUCAUCUUCUGGACGGGGUUGGAUUGCAGCAGCAGCACGCUCUUUUGCGACAGGUCCUGCUCGUGCUCGCUGUACUCGUAAGCCACGCCCUUCUCCGCCAGCGCGAUCCGGCACCGCUGCCCGAACGGGCUCACCCACAGGUCCAGCAGCACCACAUCCGCCAUUUUCUGCUGCUGCUGUUGCGAGGAAAGGCGACGAAGCUUGGGUGAGUGCUUGUAGCUGCUUGGUUAGUUUGCUCAUUGGUGAUGGAAGUAUGGAACUGUAAGUAUUAAGUGUUAGAACUUAAGCUUCAGGAGAAUAACAUCGACAUGCUACUGGUCAUGACUAGAGUACAAGAACAGUGGCGAUUAGGGGAAGGUAAUACUGGAGGAUGACAUACGUAGUCGUAGAGUCGCGGCAGUGAGCCAUAGUCGCAGCAGUGGAGGUCGUCGUACCAAGCAGGUAGCGGCGUCUCUCUGGCUUGUACCGGAGUGGACGGCGUGGUCGUCUGCGGCGGCCUUCCCGUACGCUUCAGCGCCCCCUAAAUCGGUAGGGACGUUGUUGUGUUUUCGCGAGGUCCUCUCGCGAACCAGUCAACGUGAGGGAGCCGGCCUACCCCUUUUAUAUGUGGCGCUCGGGGGGGGGGGGGGGGGGAACCAGAGUUGGUUAGUGCCCCGAUUAGGACGCGAUUAGUGUAGGAUUAAGGCCAUAAACGUUGGUUUAUGGCACUUCCUCUUAUCAAUUCCCUAAAUCAACGCCCCUCUAAUUGAGGGCAUGAUUUAUGGCAUUUAUUCUGAUGGUUAAACCGGAUCAACCAACAUUCUCCCCCUUGAUCGUUAGGUUUAUUCACAUUUGUCCUUUUCCGCAGGAAUAAUGUACCAAAGUAAGGUGUUAAGGUGACCAAUGAAAUGUCUUUGAAACUCAAUACUCAUAGUAUACCAACCUGUUUCAAAAGAUAACAUUAUUCUUAUUGGGAGUGGUUCCUUUUAGCGGUGCCCAAAAUUCCAGGAUCAUUAGGCUUCCAGUAGUCCCAUGCCGGCAACAUUCUCAUAAAAAUAGUGAUUGGUAAGCCUUUAGUUAGCGGAUCCAAAAGCAUAUCUAUCAUACUUAUGCUUAAUAUUAUUGGAUUGAUCCUGGAUUCUAUCUUUCACAGCAUGAAACAUAUUGUCAAUGGUUUUGGCAAAACACCAUUUGACUUGUUACUCGCAUAGCAAAUUGCGGGUUCAUUAUCGCAGUAUCAAAUGGUUUUGAGAUGCUGUCUACCACUUUGGUUUCGAGAAAAUACUUUCGACAUACAACCUGCAAAUAACCUCUUAACAUGCCAUAAAAUAGUUCGCAUCAUUAUUGAUGCCAUGAGUGUCCUUUGGAGCCUUUCCACGAUUUAGCUCCACCAUAUGCGAGGGUGAGGAUGUAACAUGACGUGGAAACCUUAAUAUCCACACACCUCGCGAAAGCAAUGUCUAGGUAACCCGAGAUAUCGAGGUUAACAGACUUCUUGUUAUUGAGCAUGUUAAUUUUUAUUACCUUGCGUGUAUCGCAAGCAUUUUCAAAGGCUUUUCCGUGGUCCAAUUCUCAAUUCAUUAUAUAAAUUUGCCAAUUAUCCCGGUCAUAUAUAGUUAGGGACCAUUCAUACUUGAAUACAUAUAGCUUCUUGUCAGCUGAAGCGUUAAGAAACGGCAUUACCUGAUCAGUUUUAAAUCGUUCCUUGGACAUUGAAAUAUCCAACUUUAUUGCCCCUACUUUAGUAGCAUGUAAGAUAGAGUACUAGUGCAUAAUGUUUCUCUUUUGUAUUCUGUCAAUGUAUGUCAUCAUAAUAUGACUUAUACUCCUUUGGACCUUCAACUUGUUGAAUCUCAGUACAACAAAAGUACGAGGAUCACAAAGAUUCUUUAUCUCAUAAUUAUAAGAUAAAAGUUUAUUGGCAUGCCAAUAAGAUUUCAUCUACGUAAAGUGGUGAAGCUUACUCCCCCAUAUCUUAUUGUUCCAACGCUUGCCCAAGAUUUAUGUUCAUAGGCUCGAGGUUCCCUAUGACAUCUUUAUUUUGGUAAAGAUAAUUCAAAAUCCUGAUAAUAUGCAUUCCAUUUCUGAUCCACCACACCGUUGGGCAGAAGAUGGAAAAGAACUUAAUGGAAUCUGGCACAUGAUUAUAAACGACGUUGGUCAGAAAUAUAAUCAUAAUCCACAUAAUAUUGACAAACUUUCCACUUGAAGAUUCAUGUGUGAUUCUCAUAAUGUUCAUAAGAAAGUACAUAUUAUAACAUGAUAAAAGGAGUGUGACUUUUAUAUCCAUUUCCAAGUAAGACUUGGUGAAUUCAUGCUCCAAGUAAGACUUCUCAAUGGUUCCAUCCUAAUUGGAGCCAUUCAUCAAUGCUAUCCCAAAUCCAAAUGGAAAAGGAUUUGAAAAAAUUCUCCCCCUCGAAAUGUGGUCAUAACCAUAAUUUCAAAAAGGUCUCAUUAUUAAUUUCUCUUAUAUCUUUAAUUGUGUCAUAGCACACAUAAUCAUUACAAAAGUUCAUUCGGUUUAGGCAGAACUUGUCAUACCUCAUUACGAGAUUAGCAUUUGGUACAUUUAGAAUCAAUGCAAUCCAUUAAAGAGACACAAAUUAAGUUUCUCCAGUGACUAGGAACAUACAGUAAUAACAUAAGUCAUCUCGUAACAUAAGUGUAUAAAUUCAAUUGCUUCAACUUUAGUCCCCUUAGUUUGCAUCAGCAAUGUGCACAACGACACCAUAUUCACUCAACAUAAAGAAAUAUCCUGAAAUUUGGCUCCAAGGAGAGGAAGCCCUUGAAGUAGUCCUCAAUGGAGGAGAAAUAUUCACAUUAGCAUUCUUGGAAUUAGGGAUUGCUCCCCCAUACCCAAUAUAAACAUUAAUUAAUUACACCUAAGUGACAUAAGAGUUUAUUCCCAUUUUUUAUCAUAACAUCAUCAUUAAAAAACAUCAUUGGCAAUAGAAGCUAUGGCAACAGAAGCUAUGGGAGCAUCCUUAUGUUGAUUUUAGUUAUUGCUCUAGUAUCACCAUUGGGUAGAAAACAGAAAAGAACUUAAUCUAUUGACAAUAGACACAUGACAAUAAUCAAUGUUGGUCAGAAUAUUAUCAUAUGACAUAAGAACAUCUAGUCAUUAACAUUAUCGCUAACCAAAACUUCCUGUUGCUUUCGUUUUGACUAGAAAAACUUAAAAUUAGAUAACGAUCAGUAAGGACAUUUGCUAAAUUAAUAGUCAUCAUUAAUAUAAUACAAUAAUAUGAUGGAAUCCAUGAUGUUAUUGUACACAUUCAUAACUUGCUACUGAUCAUUAACCUUUCAAUGACAUGGUACAAAAACUAACAUUCAUUUUGGACAUCAGCGUCAACAUUGAUAAAAUGACAUCUCAUCGAAAAAGCAUUAGAUUAAAAUCACAGUGAAAAUGACAUUUGUAUUAAUCAUAAAGAUUUCUCCAAAAAUUUGAAUAUCAAAUUACAUCCGUGUUGACCAAAUAAUAAUAUUUGGUGAAUGAUAGUUGCCAAAUAAAUGACAAUAAGUAAGACCAUGAUGUUAAGGAUGACAUUAAAAUUACUUAAAACAUAAAAACCUUCCUCAUUUAGAGAAUUAACUCAAAUUUAGUCAACAUCAUUAUGAGCCUUUAUGGACUAUUAGAAAGUGCAUGCCAAAAGGCAUAAAUACACCAACAUGAUACUUUAGCAUAUUGGCUCAACAUUAUUAGGCCGCACAGUGCGGUGCGGAAAACCGAACCCCGCGACAAUUAGCAUUUUCGUUUGUCCACAUCAACUCAUUAGACAUGAUCCUAUUAAGAAAUGUCAUAAUAAUGAUAUCAACAUUAACUCAGUAGUUAUAUAUGACCAUAGAAAUUAAUAAAAUGACAUAACAUGACAUUAUCAUAGACUUUCAUCAUUAAUUUAAGCAUAUACAAAAUAUGAAAAGAUGAUGCAAGCAUUAAUAUUGACAUUAACAUUAAUCAAUCCACUGAAACUUCCUACAGAAAAUUUUAGUUUGUUUGAACAACAUUUUCAGCAUCAACAUUUUGGAAAUGACUCAUAAAUUAAAACAACGUUGGUUAGGAAAAAAUUUAGAGCCAACAUUUUCAAAUUAUACAUCAAGUUUCAACAUUAGAAUUUAAUCAUUACUUGAUGCCUAAAAUGAUUAUCAACAUAGAACAAAGAAAAAAUCUAAAUAAAGUGUCCCGUUGGUUCAACUUUACUCAAAAUAAUUAAAUGUGCAUCAGUUAAAUUUCGGGCCAUUUUCAUUAGUGAACAGUGCAAACCAUCAAUUAAACAUCAUUUUAUGCACUGGAAUAAAAGAAAACGUGAUAAAACUACAAUAUGAUCGAAACUGGGCCGGCCCAUGUCAUUACCCCGCACAGUGCGCAGCGGAACCUUUUUUUUAUUUUAUGUGUGGGCUAACUUAUCCUGGGCCGAAGCCCGUGGCCAGAUUCGGCAUGUUUUCGCCCGAAGGCCCAACUUCAUUUCCUCAGCCAUCUGGACCGUCCAAUCUAGUCAGACGCCUCAGAUCGUACCGCGGGUGAACAAAAUUAUCCGGCUGAAAAACCCUAGCCAUAUUCUCUUUCCCGUUUUUUCCAGAUCCACCCGAGACGGCAGCACGCCCGACGACCUGCACGUGGACGGCGACCAUGGCGGCGUUCUAGACGGCGCGGGGGCGGCGCUCGCCGGAGCAGCGUGCGGCGGACUCAGUCCAGCGCGCUCCUCCGUCGAGCAUGGCCACCGGCGUCGUCGUUCUUUCGGUGGCGGACGAACAUCUAUCCAUCCAAGACUACGCAAGCCUCCAUCCAUAAGGAGUUCAACCCGUCGAACAUCAUCGUGAGGUAAAACCAUUAAAAUGUAUCUCGAAAACUUUGUUUGAGCCUUUAUAGGGUUCGGGAUUUGGGGAAAAAUUCUAGGGAUUUGAAAAACAUUCCCCUCUUUCUACUUUCUUGCCAACAGAACAUGUAUGAGCCCAUAAAUCCCACGACAAUACCAAUCCAAUUUACAUUAGCAUAAAACUUGAUUAACAAUGCUAAUCCAUCAUUAACAAAAAUCUAAUUAGACAUUAUCAGCACUAAUCAGAUUAAAUAAUCCCUAAUCAAAUAUUAGACUCUAAUAUGACCAGUUAUGGCUCUGAUACCAUUGUUAGAACUUAAGCUUCAGGAGAAUAACAUCGGCAUGCUAUUGCUCAUGACUAGAGUAUAAGAACAGUGGCGAUUAGGGGAAGAUCAUACUGGAGGAUGACAUACGUAGUCGUAGAGUUGGGGCAAUGAGCCGUAGUCAUAGCAGUGGAGGUCGUCAUACCACGCAGGUAGAGGCGUCUCUCUGGCUUGUACCGGAGUGGACGGCGUGGUCGUUGGCUACGGUUACGCUUCAGCGCCCCCUAAAUCGGUAGGGAUCGCUAUGGGUUGUUGUGUUUUGGCGAGGUCCUCUCGUGAACAAGUCAACGUGAGGGAGCCACCUACCCCUUUUAUAUGUGGUGCUGCACGACGGGGGGCCGAAACCAGAGUUGGUUAGUGCCCCCGAUUAGGGCGUGAUUAGUGCAGGAUUAAGGCCAUAAACGUUGGUUUAUGGCCCUCCCUGUUAUCAGUUCCCUAAAUCAAUGCCCCUCUAAUUGAGGGCGUGAUCUAUGGCAUUUAUUUCGGUGGUUAAACCAGAUCAACCAACAUUAAGGAAUGUGGAGUAGAUGAAUUAGUGGUUUCAGUGGAGGGUUUUUAUAAGGGGGCGAUCGAGGGCAAAGCGGGUUUUAGUUACUCCUAGUUGGACUCUAGAAGAACCAAGUUGAUGUGUUUGGCCUUUACUCCUUGGUUCUUGUCUUACGUUCUUUUUUUCUUCGAAUUUGCUUGGUCUGGCGACUGAGAAUCUAUAUUUCUCAGUCGACUUGUCUGGACCAUUAAAUGUGCUUGGAGAUGUGUGCAGGUUUUCCUUUUCUCAAUUCUUUGUACUCGACUUGUCUGGACCAUUGAAUGUGCUUGGAGAUGUGUGCAGGUUUUCCUUUUCUAAGCUAGUUAGUUUUCUUUUGAUCGUAAUUUUUUUGGUUUGGUUCUAUUAUUUUUAUUUUUAUAUCAACGCUCGAGCGUUUCAGGGUGUACCUGCGGUUCUCUGAAUUUUUGGUUGUCAGUUCUAUGGGUGUUUAAUUACACUUAUUAAUACAUAACUUAUUUACAUUCAACUAUUAUGUUUUUACGCCUCAUCCAAUACAACGUUGUUAGCUUUUCUUCAUUUGUCAAUUCAUACACACCUAUAUAACACAUUUGCUACGGCUCAGUCGCCCGAGAAAUAUUGUUUCUUAGUCGGUUCAGUUACAAAGAUAGGAUACAUAGACCGACGACUGAAUUAAAUUGUGAUGUUCUACUUGGCCUGAUGGUUAGUACCUCACGUCACUUGUGGACGUUGUGAGUUCGACUCCUCUGUGUCUAUUUUUUUAGUUUUUUUCUUCGUUUGUCUAUUUUCUUUGUUCUUAUUUUCUCUUACUUGCAGUUCCAAUUUUAAGAACGGGAUUUAUAUCUCGGUUGACUCCUCGUUCAAUGUGACACAAAGAUUUAUUGCACCAUCGGACGACUAAAAUUGCACGUGAAAUUUUGUGUGAAAUUUUUUAUUUUGAAAUGUGCAAUUCGAUAUUGCACCUUCGGAUGGCUAAAAUCGCACAUGUUUUUUUUUUGCAAAUUUGGAUUUUGAAAUGUGCAAUUAGAUAUUGCACCUUCGGACAGCUAAAAUUGCACAUGGUUUUUUGGGUGCAAAUUUGGAUUUUGAAAUGCACAAUUGGAUCUUGCACCUUCAGACGGCUAAAAUUGCACGUGAGAUUUUGUGUGCAAAUUUGGAUAUUGAAAUGUACAAUUGGAAUUGCACCUUCGGAUGGCUAAAAUUGCACAUGAAAUUGUGUGUGCAAAUUUGGAUUUUGAAAUGUGGAAUUGGAUAUUGCAUCUUCGGACGGCUAAAAUUGCACAUGUUUUUCGUGUGCAAAUUUGGAUUUUGAAACGUCCAAUUGGAUAUUGCCCUUCGGACGGCUUAAAUUCCACGUGCAAUUUUUAGAAUCGAGCACAAAACUUCACGUCCAAUUUUUAGAAUCGCGCACAAAAUUUCACGUGCAGUUAGAAGCGUGCAUAAAAUUUUGCGUGCAAUUUUUGGAAUCAUGCAUAAUUUUUUAAAUCACGGAUAAAGUUUCUUGUGCAAUUUCUAAAUUUUAGUAAUCUGAAACCUGUCGUCAUUGAUGAAUUCAACAAGAAAAAAAAAAGGCUAGGCUGCAUGCAUGUAUGAAUCAGGAAAUGUGGCCGGGCUAAGCUGGCAGUCCCUUUUUUCUUUUACCAAAAGUCAGCGGCGCUGCUUUCAUUUAAUUAAGAAGAAGAGUUACAGAAAAUAACAAAACAAUUUGAGAUGGCUUACACAAUGAUCAAUGGCACAAUAAAACACACAUGCAUCGCUAGAGGAGAACUCCUUAUGCCAUCGAAAGGCCACACAACACCGAGACAUUGCAACACACAUGCAACAGGACAAUGAGUGUAGCAAGCGUGAUCGAAGGACCUCACAUCACCGAGACUGCGUCGAAGCGCAAUGCGAAGCCGAGGCCUCAGUGCACAUGAACCUUGACCACCGCAGGACAACCCCGAGGAUUGCGAAAAGAAGCUGGCCAUUCACGUCGUCGAAAGGCACCGAACAGCCGAUGCAACAUCAGGAACACGAAGCUCGUCGCGAAGCACGAACACAUAAUCGACGACAAUCGAAGAACUAAGCCAGGAAAGGCCGCUACCCGCCAUCCACCAACACCACCCCACCAAUAAAGAGUUCACAGAUCCAAGACUGUCUCCAAGGAGCCAGCGACACAAACGUGCCGCCGCUGCCCGGUCCAAGGGACCUAGGGUUUUCACCCCGAUCUGAGGGAGAGGUCAUCACAAUGUCUCAAAGAGGGCUACGACACCCGCAGGCGACGACAUUGCAAGAGCCGGCGCACGCCCGCCCGAGAUUUCACUCGACUCCACCCAUCCAUGGCAGGGGACAGCAGCAAUGGACAAAGGGGAAAAGAGCAGCAGGGAUCUAAGCUGCAAGCCACCCACACGGCGAGGGGAGCUUCAGACCACCAUGGGGGGCGCCACCCGACAACCCCAGGUCGGCCAACGUCGAGCCUGCCACCAGAGGAGACGCAACAACCCAGAUCCAGGCGAGGAGCCUAAGAUCCAGGCGGAUGCCGCCACCCUGGACAACUGCAGCCUGCUACCGGGCACCGGAGUCCCCACGACGGCACGUGCGGAGCCCUCGCAUCAUCUCCAGCACGUCAGGCAUGCCACCUGCUGCGCCAAACGAACGCCGAUCGCCACGAGGAGACGCCGGCCACGAAUCCGCCCCGACCAACCCCUUUGGAGGCGGAGCACGGGAAGGGAGCUUGGCGGCGCUAGGGCUGGGGCUCCCCGUGUCGCCUCUAGGGAGACGAAGCGAGGUCGGGUAAGGUUUGAUAGCAGUCGUCGUUCUUUAGUUAUCUCCUCUCCAAGGCAGCAUCUGCAAGGUUUCACACACACAUGCACGGAUCUGCUGCAUCUAGGGACUCCAAUCACAUCCAACUAUGUGUGUGAUAAGAUUAAUAAUUAGGACAACAACCUAAGAGGUAUAUGGGAUUCCUGUCAACUGUCGUCUACUCCCUUUGUGUCUAAAUAUCUGUACAUAUGGAGAAUUUUCUACUCCCUUUGUGUCUAAAUAUCUGUACAUAUGGAGAAUUUUCUUAAGUCAAAUUUUGUCAACUUCGAUCGACUUUGUAGAAGAAAAUCACAAACAUACAUAUGCAACAUCAAACUAGCUAGUAUCAUUAGACUACUACGGGAUCACUUAUUUCUGACACGUCGAAAAUCCUCUAAGUUGACGCAAAACGGACGCAUUACUAAUCAAGUGUCAGAGAUCACAAAAAAUACUAUUAAGUAUAUUUUCAUAUAGGUCUCGCUAUUGAGAAGUCACAUGCUUUUAGUUAGAAAUCAGUAGGCGUGCUUAGCUGUUGGACACGUGUGAGAGGAGCGUUGGCUCUGACAACUGAGAUUUAAGGCCUUUUGCUUAAAAAUCAGGCAAUUGAAAAAUAGCCACACCUUUUCAUAUUGCAUUUGUUUGGUAUUGCAUAUGUUAGUCUAUAAGAUCGGUCAAACUUGAUGUGGUUUGACUUAGUACAACCCCUAGAUGUAUACAUAUUUAGAAACAGAGAGAGUAUAAUUUAGACGGUUUGCAAAAAUAUCACAAAUGAGAUUGAAGUUCUUAUGAAAUUUAUUUGACAUUGAUAGGGAAUUUGUAUACGUGACAUGAGUAGUGUAAAAGAAACAGGAGAAGGCUUUUGCCAAGAAAUAAAGGAACAUCCUUGACGGUUUUCAGAAGAAGAAAAAAACAGUUAGGUCAUAAACUUGCCCAUUGAGGCCUAGCGAGGGCCAGUACAGCCCGCUGGGGAAUAGGACGCAUGCAUGGUAUAAUCGGACCUAAUGUAGAGUUCCCUAAAAAAACUAAUCUAGAGUAUUAGUAUUCUCUCGGGCCGGAAUUAUAUAUCGCAGAUUUAGUACAACUUUGUAAAUCUGCGACAAGCAAUUCCAGCUGAAUAAAGUAUAAAUUUAUAUUACUCCUGUCAUAAAUAAUUGACAUUACCGGUUUAUAAAUUGACAGACCGCGGACGUUUGGAGCUCGUGCUCUAUGAUGCGGAAGACCUUCAGAAAUUCAAAAAAUACUCGCCCCAGCUACAAUCACAUUGUCAUGUAAUCGUCCCGUGCUGCACUGUGGCAGACUGCCGCUGCCGCGCUGUAGAAGAUCGAUUUGUUCAAUGGUUAUAUGGAUUAAUCUUCUACCCAUUCUCCAGGAGGUGCCAGCUGCAAAUUAAAAGAAUAACAAAAUGACAAAUCCCUCAUGCUGGUCUUAAGAAAUACAUUAAUUAAGUCCGGUCCAGCGCAGACAUGUUCAUCUAUUUCUCACAAAACAAAAACGGUAGGUUUCAUGUUUGGCCGCAACAUUAUUCAAUCCUAUCCUCUCGCAUGCCCUAUAAAAUCAUAAAUGGCAUGGAAAAACUGUUCUUUCCUUCAAAGCCCAGGCGCCCAGCUGACCAAGCUAGGCAGAAAAGGAAAAAAAAGACAAACACCCUCGAUGAUCUUUUCAUUGCUGUGUGCAUCUAGCAAGGCAUGCAUGCACCUAACAGCAUCAUGUAGCUCUAACAAUUUACAUGCAUGCAAAAGGGAAGCUAGGAUCUCAGAUGGCUGAGUUGCCUGCAGCGGAGCUCACGUUAUCUCGUUAGUGAUAACGUGAAAUCCUUCUCUCUCGAUGCAUGCAUGUUUAAUUCUUGUUGCACCUCCUGCUGGACUCCAUUAUAUCUCAUCUUGACCUUGAACUUGAAAAGCUUGACCAAAUAACUACGUAAUAAAAUGAUACAAGAUAGUAGCCCUGCCUCUUCAUGCAUAUGACAUUGAAAACAAAUAGUACUUGACUUCACCUGAUUAUAAAUGUUAUCGAAUACUAUAGAAUUGAGGGUGCCGAAGGUCGUAUCCAUGGUCAUCAUGUCCAUAUCAUCCUCUUGAAAGGAAAGCCGUCCUCGGUGUCGUUUGUGCUGAAAAGAGACUGACAAAAUAGACAAAGUGUGUGCAUGGUAUAUGUAUAUGUCAUCAAUCUUAAAACAUCUCCUUUCUUUCACAAGUAAUAUCUUAUAACAAAAUCUCGUGAAGUAAUUAGUCAAAGAAUCGUCAUGAAUAACAUUCCAGCAAAUAGAUUGACAAUAUUGUUUGCAUAUAUAAGUGAAAAAAAUUCAUGUAUUUGGUUUGCACGGCUCACCAUUAUACCAUCCCAACAGUGGAGAAUAAUAUUUAAUAGUAUCCGAAAUAGUUAUUACAAGAUGCUGCAAUUUAGAGCAAGUGAAGACACUAAUAUUCAAACAAUCAUGUAAACAACUAUUUGGCAAAUAAUCAACACCAACAUUGGAGGUCAUAUCAAAAUGGUUAAGCAUAUGCAGCAUAUUAUUUUCUCUCAAAUCAAGAAAGUUAUCACAAACAAUGUAAAUCUCAUGGACCAAAAAGUUAUUGUUUACAUCAUGUUCUCCAAUUAAUUGAAUAGUGUAUCCAUGAGCAUUAGCAAAAGAUUUUGAAAUUGUUAACUUAAAAACUUCAUCUAUUGCAUGUGAUAAAUACAUAGCUCUAUCAAGUGUAAUAUAACACAAAGAAUUAAU